ACUCCUACGGGAGGCAGCAGUGAGGAAUAUUGGUCAAUGGAGGGAACUCUGAACCAGCCAUCCCGCGUGUAGGAAGACGGCCUUAUGGGUUGUAAACUACUUUUAUACAGGAAGAAACGUACCCUCGUGAGGGUGCCUGACGGUACUGUAGGAAUAAGCACCGGCUAACUCCGUGCCAGCAGCCGCGGUAAUACGGAGGGGUGCGAGCGUUAUCCGGAUUUAUUGGGGUUUAAAGGGUCCGUAGGCGGAUUAAUAAGUCAGUGGUGAAAUCCCAUCGCUUAACGAUGGAACUGCCAUUGAUACUGUUAGUCUUGAAUGAGGGUGCAGUGGUUGGAAUGUGUAGUGUAGCGGUGAAAUGCAUAGAUAUUACACAGAACACCGAUUGCGAAGGCAGAUCACUAACCCUAAAUUGACGCUGAGGGACGAAAGCGUGGGGAGCGAACAGGAUUAGAUACCCUGGUAGCACAGAGAGUCGUCC
rnacentral:rRNA from 1 species